CCUACGGGAGGCAGCAGUAGGGAAUCUUCCGCAAUGGACGACAGUCUGACGGAGCAACGCCGCGUGAGUGAUGAAGGUUUUCGGAUCGUAAAACUCUGUUGUUAGGGAAGAACAAGUACCGUUCGAAUAGGGCGGUACCUUGACGGUACCUAACCAGAAAGCCACGGCUAACUAUGUGCCAGGAGCCGCGGGAAUACGUAGGUGGCAAGCGUUGUCCGGAAUUAUUGGGCGUAAAGCGCGCGCAGGCGGUUUCUUAAGUCUGAUGUGAAAGCCCCCGGCUCAACCGGGGAGGGUCAUUGGAAACUGGGGAACUUGAGUGCAGAAGAGGAGAGUGGAAUUCCACGUGUAGCGGUGAAAUGCGUAGAGAUGUGGAGGAACACCAGUGGCGAAGGCGACUCUCUGGUCUGUGCCUGACGCUGAGGCGCGAAAGCGUGGAGAGCGAACAGGAUUAGAUACCCUGGUAGUCCACGCCGUAAACGAUGAGUGCUAAGUGUUAGAGGGUUUCCGCCCUUUAGUGCUGCAGCAAACGCAUUAGGCACUCCGCCUGGGGAGUACGGUCGCAAGACUGAAACUUAAAGGAAUUGACGG
rnacentral:rRNA from 1 species